ensembl:lincRNA
GUGAGCGUCAAGUUGAGAGCCAGCAAGGAUAAGAGCGAAGCUUCAACCAAGUUUGAGGAGUAUGGUCCAGUCAUCAAAUAUGAUGACACUGUGAAAGACUAUGCCUUUGUACACAUGGAGUGGGCAGAGGGUGCAGUGGAGGCUGACAGGGGCCUUGAUAGUUCCCAGGCAAAAGAAUGCACGUGCAGUUGUCCGCCAGCUGCUCUGGACUGCCCCUGGGAUGGGAGACUGGAGUGGCGGCUGUCAGUGUGAGAAAGAGGGGCCCUGGUCAAAAGAGUGCCCAAUAGAUCGUACGGGUCGUGUGGCGGACUUACCAAGCAAUUAUAAUGAACAGUAUGGAGCGGUGCACAUACCUUAAGCCAUGGGCUACGGGGAAUCCGUUUCUUACAAUGAUGCUAUCCUACAGAGCACGUGACUACUGUGAGCGCUCCUGAGCUCACUUUCACGAGGCAGUAGUGGCAGCAGCAGCGUCUGCACGCGACUACGCAGGGCAGACCAUGUCCCAUCUGCCUCAAGUCCAGAACACAGCUGUGACCCGCCGCCUCAGCUCCACUUCCGUUGAUCCUGACAGACAAACACCUGUUGCCAAACUCAGGCACUGCUGCCGCCACUGCCACCACUUCCUCCUGUGAUGGAGGGGACAGGAGCCCCCUGCCUCCUGCAGCAGGGCUGUGCGCCCCACAGGUGGAGAGGGCUACGGUUACGGGCUAGAGAGUGAGCUGUCUCAGGCUUCAGCAGGCAAUUCUCUGUGACGUGGCCCAGUACGAACCGGAGCAGUAUGCAGACUGAGCUGGGUACUCAGCCUUUGAAAGAUUGGAGGAUACAAGUACCCUGUUACACCAUCCAACAUUAACUAAUGGCACACAACCCACACUUAGAGAAAGCUAUCUAAAUGACGCAAAGCCUCGGAACCAAAGCACCAGUGCUAAAAGAACACUGCUAUCAGAAAACGGAGAGCAGUCGGCAGACCCAGCCGCUGGGUCACACUGCCCUGCAGGCCGCUCUUACAGUCAGCAUUCACCAAGAGCCUAGAACUUGCUGGCACUGUGCUGGGGACUGGCAAGUUGUGAUUCCAGUAAGACGGACGCAGGCCAGUGGGGAAGGCAAGCAGCAACUGCGAGAACCAGUCUUCCCAUUCCCUGAGAAAAGCCAGACUCGGAGAAGACAGGAAAAGGGAGUUUUUCCAACCAAUGCUGUAGAAACUACCAGAAAUUCUUAUUUUAAAUAUAUAUAUAUAUAUAUAUUUACUUAUUUGGCUAUCAGGUCUUCAUUGCAGCAUACAAACUCUUGGUUGUGGCAUAUGGGAUCUAGUUUCCUGCCCAGGGAUCGAACUCAGGGCCCCAGCAUUGGGAACACAGAGCCUUAGUCACUGGACCACCAAGGAAGUCCCAGAAAUCCUUAUUUUUGUUUUUUAAUUAAGCAUAAUCCUAAAAAAAAAAUUAAGCAGAGCCCUUACCUCACACUAUGCAUACAAUAACUUGAAAUGGAUCAUAGAUGUAAUUGUAAAACCUAAAACUAAAUAAAUUCUAGGAGAACAUAUUUGUGACUUUGAAUUGGGCAAAAUUUUCUUAUAUUUGACUCAAAAGCACAAACCAUUAAGAAAAAUGGUGGUGUGGGUGAGGAAUAACAGGAAUAAGUUAGAGUAAUGCUGUUAGAGUGUUGUUUUUAUAGUUAUCGUCUACUAUGGCAAGUGACAUGGAUCUCCAAUUUGUGUAGUGAUAUAAUGUUUCCCUUUUAAAUAAACAUGUCUAGGCUUCCAAAAUGUGCAUGGCCCUAAGGAAAAAAAUAUGCAGGUAAGAUGCUGACUCUGAAGCUAGAACCUGGUGUUCAAAUUCUGGCUUCACCUUACCUUGGGCAACGUGAGCGUUCUUGUCUUCCCUCAGACUCCUCAUUUGUAGAAUGGCCUUGAGACAAAACUCUGACCUCAAAGGGUUAUGGGAGUAUUUACCAAGUUUCCAUAUAUAGAACACUUAGAACAUGGGAUGGUAUGCAGGAGCUCAGUAUUUACUAUAAUAAUUAUUAUUCACUAUUAUAAAAGGCAGCAAAGACAUGUCUUGGAAAACUGAAGCUUUUUCUUUUAUUCUUGAAUUAUUCCCUUUAUUGAUAUUGCUUUAGCACCAUCAGUAGAGAUCUGUGAGGAAAAUACUUGAUUGUGAAAGAAAGAAAGAAAGAAAUCCAGUGUGGAACUAGUCACAUGGGACCCCUGAGCAUUCUGAACAGCUCCUGAAAGCUGCUGAUGUCCUUCUGAAGGACUCCAACCUCUGACCUUCAAACUCUGACCUCCAAUGAGCAAAGAGACUCAAGAGUGAAAGAACAGAGUGUGGAGGGCUCAUAUUUCUGCUAUUCCCAGAAAAAAGUGACUGUUGACAAAGGGUCUCCAGCAGACCUUUGUGCCCAAAAGCUUCCUUGGAACAACAUGACAAAAAGGAAAACAAAAGGAGUGAAGCAGAUCAUUAGCUGGAGGGCCCUCUACAGCUCAUGCACAGAAACUUGUGCAGAGGUCUACUCUCUCUAUGCACCAAAGAAAAAACCGCCAAGAAAGUAACCAAGAUCAUGAGACUACGGAGCAGCUGGAGCUCUGACACACUACCCUUGUGGGCCUACAACCAUUCUGGAAGACUGUUUGGCAAUUCUCAUAAAAUGAGCUAUAUACCUGCUGUGUGAAGCAGCAAUUCUACUCCUAGUGUCAGCCUAGAGAAAUCAAGAGCCACGUGCUCAGAAACAACGGCAAAAAGAAUAGGCAUGGCUACCACAUUCGUGUCAUGGAUUAUAUGUAGCCCCAAAAGCUGAGAGCAAUUCAAAUGUUCAUCGACAGAAGAACGGAUAUGCAAGUCUGGUAUAAUCACACAGUGGGAGACUCCUCGGCAAGAAAAAGGAACAAAAGACUGACCCAUGCGACAACAUGGAUGGCUCUCAAACUGCCAGUAAAAGACGACAGAAACCAAAGAGCACUCGCUACGUAAUUCCAUUUAUUUGAAUGCAAGAAUAGUCUACAGUUACAGAGUCAGGACAGAAAGGGGCACGAGCAAAUUCACAGUAAUGGAAAUAUCCUGGUUCUUGACUGGGGUGGUGGUCACCUGGGUAUACGCAAUUGUCAAAGGCCAUCUGCACUGGGAGGAAUAGUGUCCCCCCAAAAUUCAUGUCCACCAGAAUCUUAGAAUGUGACCUUAUUUGGAAGUAGGGUCUUUGCAGCUGUAAUUAGUGAAAUUAAAGUGAGUCCAUACCAGGUUACAGAAGGCCCUCGUCCAAGGACUGAUGUCCUUAUAAGAAGAGAAAACAGAGACACGCAAGACGAAUAUAACAUGGUGACUGAGACAGAGAUCAGAAAAAUAGGCCCACACGGCACGGUGGCUGCAAGCAACCACCAGGAGCCAAGAAGAGGCAGUGAAAGGUCAAGGAAAUCACAGCCUCAUAGACACCUUGAUUCUGGCUUUCCAGCUUCCAGACCCAUGAAAGAACACACUUCUUUUCUCUUAAAGCCACCAAAUUUCUGGUACUUUGUUACAGUAGCCCCUAGGAAACUAACAGACCAUCUAACAAUGUUUAAAGUCUGUGCCUUUUAAAUAAUUUUACUACAGCUUUAAAAAUUGCAAAUAACUCAUCGGAAACAGGAAGUUGGUGAUGAGGGUUCCAACCUGGCUUCUGUUUCACCAUAUUAGACAGAAUACCUGAAGGAGAGCGAAACCCUGUUGCGCAGAAUCCACACUGAGAGAAGCCAGGCACUGCCCAAGCAGUCCCUCCCUCCCAAUGGCUCUCCCUUUCACAAUCAACCACUAUUUGCAUCUGUUUCCUCUGCCCACAGCAAAAUGCCUCUUUCACUCUCUCAAACACAAAUAUUCGGGUACCAUAGGCAGUACUACCCAGGAGAGCCACCGUGCAGAUGUCCCAUUCAAAAAUGAACCAACCCGCUUCUCAGGGAGUGCCAAGCCUCAGAAUUAAAGGCUGCAGAAAAGCCUGGUUAGGGGCUAAGCACCUUAACCCAACUUUUCAGUAACUCAAAGAUUUAUUAUCUGGAAUGCCAACAUUUAAGAAUCUUUGAUUCCUUUGCUUUCUGUAGCCCAGACACUUAGAAAAUGGGACUUUUUAUUUCAUUAUUUUGCUUCAUCUUAGAAGACCCUGACCCUGAGAACUUUUCACCUGUGGAUAUCUGCACGAGGACUGGGGUCAGCAAAGGUCAGGUAGAUCACUGAAUAAUAUAACCAUUCCGGCUCUCCCAUAUUCAUGGCUGCAGAAUUUGCCAGGCAUGAGCUCACUGAUUCCACACAACAAAGCUAGAGAUAGAAUCACUAUUAUCUUUAUUUUUUGUUUGCGGAAACUGAGGACCAGAGGGGUGAUGUAACUUGUCUGAGGUCACACAGUAGUACACAGAGGAAGGAUCUGGGCCCAGACAAACUGGCCUGGAAAUCUUAGCCACCGGGCCGCACUGCCAAGCAGAUGUCUCUUCGUUGGAUUGGGCACUGCAUUCCCCCAGCGACUGAGAGCCCAAAGGUCUGUUAUAGAUCCAGAGCUCCUUCAACUUUUUUCCCCUUCUUGAGAACCAUUAGAGCAGUGAGUCCCAAGGUCCAUUGGGACAUCCUCUAAAGCACUAUAUAAACAAAACUGAGUGGAACAGGAUUAAGGUUGUUUAAUUUUGUUUUGGGGGUUUUGGAAUGUUUUGUUUUAUUUUGAGAUGAAAGCUAACCAAACAACUAUAGAGCUGAACCGAAAAAGACUUAGAUCAGAAUCAGGCAUUUUUUCCCAACUUGAUGAAAAACCACAGUUGCUUCUUUUCCCACUUUUUUCUUUUGGUGGCAUCGUGCAGCUUGCACAACCCUCGUUCCCCGACCAGGAUCAAACCCCUGCACACGGCAGUGAGAGCACGGAGACCUAACCGCUGGACCACGAGGGGGUUCUCCAAACCCCAUUUCUAUUGUCCACUAUGCCAGGAAGGAAUGUGGAGCUGGGCUUCCUAAAAGAGAAUCAAACAAAGGGCUCCUUACUUUGCAGGUGGGUUCUUUACUGUCUGAGCCACCAGGGAGGCCGUUAGGAAAGGACACUUCAGCCCACAUGUACCAUACGUCCUGACUCUGUACAUGUCCAGAGAUCCUCUCCAGAGGAGUCCACAGUAGCUGACUCAAAGAAGAUUCUCCAGUAGGGUGGCACGCACAUUAAAAGACUAAAAGGAGGGAAUUCCCUGGAAGUCCGGUGGUUAGGACUCGACACUUUCACUGCUGUGGCCCAGGGCGAUCCUGACCAGGGGCUGAAUCUGGGCCAUGGCUGUCAAAGUCCAGAAUCCUAACUACUAGCCCACCAAGGAGCUCUCAGAAACUUAACAUAACGAUAGACCCCAGGAAGUCCAUAAAUAUUGAAUAAGCAUUUAACAAAAACACAUUAUCCUGAUUAAAAAUCCUUAAGCAGGAUUCAGUGGAUAAUUCCUUAAUAUGACAAAAUAUAUAAAUCUCAGUUAUAAGCCAGCAUUCUACUUAACUAAAAAACAACAGACACAUUCCAGCUAAAGAGAGAAAUAAUACAUCUGCGUGCACUAUCACUGUGCAGGAGGUCCUAGCCACUGCAACUAGAUACGCUAAAGAAAUGAGAGACAAAAUGACUGGACGAAGGGAUACAGUGGACGGCAUGGUGACUAUAAUUAACAAUACUGUACUGUUUAUUUGAAAGUUGCUAAAAGAAUAAAUCUUUAAAAGUUCUUGUUAUAGAAAGAAUUAUAGCUACUUGCGGUGAUGUUAACUAACUUAUUGUUGUAAUCACUUCAUAGAUAUACAUAUAUCAGAUCAUUAUGUUUGUAUCCUAAAAUGACUACAAUGUUAUAUGUCAAUUAUAU